CUCUUUGCCAAGGAGAAGACGCGGGUUCGAUUCCCGCUAUCCGCC
rnacentral:tRNA from 1 species